AACGAACGCUGGCGGCAGGCUUAAUACAUGCAAGUCGAGGGGUAGCAAGAUUGUAGCAAUACAAUUGUUGACGACCGGCAAACGGGUGCGGAACACGUACACAACCUUCCUACAAGUGGGGAAUAGCCCAGAGAAAUUUGGAUUAAUACCCCGUAACAUAGCGAUGUGGCAUCACAUUGCUAUUAUAGCUUCGGCGCUUGUUGAUGGGUGUGCGGCUGAUUAGAUAGUUGGCGGGGUAACGGCCCACCAAGUCUACGAUCAGUAGCUGAUGUGAGAGCAUGAUCAGCCACACGGGCACUGAGACACGGGCCCGACUCCUACGGGAGGCAGCAGUAAGGAAUAUUGGACAAUGGACGCAAGUCUGAUCCAGCCAUGCCGCGUGAAGGAUUAAGGUCCUCUGGAUUGUAAACUUCUUUUAUAAGGGACGAAAAAAGGUCUUUCUAGAUCGUCUGACGGUACCUUAUGAAUAAGCACCGGCUAACUCCGUGCCAGCAGCCGCAGUAAAAC
rnacentral:rRNA from 1 species